rnacentral:rRNA from 1 species
UACAGAGGGGGCAAGCGUUAUUCGGAAUUAUUGGGCGUAAAGGGCGCGUAGGCGGCUUUGCAAGUGACGGGUGAAAUCCCUCGGCUUAACCGAGGAACUGCCUGUCAAACUGCAUGGCUUGAGACCGGGAGAGGUGAGUGGAAUUCCCAGUGUAGCGGUGAAAUGCGUAGAUAUUGGGAGGAACACCAGUGGCGAAGGCGGCUUACUGGACCGGUACUGACGCUGAUGCGCGAAAGCGUGGGGAGCAAACAGG